UCUAUGUAGCUACUUGGUCAUUUAGAGGAAGUAAAAGUCGUAACAAGGUUUCCGUAGGUGAACCUGCGGAAGGAUCAUUAAAGAUUUGGCCUCUGGCCUUUUCAAUCCAAACCUCUGUGAACUGUGGCCCUCGGGCCGAUUUUAAACAUUGUGUAAGUGAAUGUAAUAUUAUUAUAACAAAUAAAACUUUUAACAACGGAUCUCUUGGCUCUCGCAUCGAUGAAGAACGCAGCGAAAUGCGAUAAGUAAUGUGAAUUGCAGAAUUCAGUGAAUCAUCGAAUCUUUGAACGCACCUUGCACCUUUUGGUAUUCCGAAAGGUAUGCCUGUUUGAGUGUCAUGAAAUAUCAACCAUUAGGGUUUCCUAAUCGGCUUGGACUUGGGCAUUGCCAUCUGGCUUGCCUUAAAUGCGUUAGUGGAUGACCCAUUAGCUUUGACGUAAUAAGUUUCGUCAGUCGAGUGGUCAGCAUUUGCUUACAACAACCAAUAUUUCUUAAUCUCUGACCUCAAAUCAGGUAGGACUACCCGCUGAACUUAAGCUAA
rnacentral:rRNA from 1 species